AUACGUAGGUGGCAAGCGUUGUCCGGAUUUAUUGGGCGUAAAGCGAGCGCAGGUGGUUUCUUAAGUCUGAUGUGAAAGCCCACGGCUCAACCGUGGAAGGUCAUUGGAAACUGGGGAACUUGAAUGCAGAAGAGGAGAGUGGAAUUCCAUGUGUAGCGGUGAAAUGCGUAGAUAUAUGGAAGAACACCAGUGGCGAAGGCGGCUCUCUGGUCUGCAACUGACGCUGAGGCUCGAAAGCAU
rnacentral:rRNA from 1 species